UAAAAUUGACCACAUAAUUGGAAGUAAAAUACUCCUCAGCAAAUGGAAAAGAACAGAAAUCAUAACGGUCUCUCGGACCACAGUGCAAUCAAAUUAGAACUCAGGAGUUUCCCUCUUGUUGCCUAGGCUGGAGUGCAAUGGCGCGAUCUUGGCUCACCGCAACCUCCGCCUCUCAGGUUCAAGCGAUUCUCCUGCCUCAGCCUCUCAAGUAUGCCUGGCUAAGUUUGCAUAUUUAGUAGAGACGGGCAUUUAUGAAAGUGAAUUGCCCUGUACACUAAGAGGUAACUCUGGAUCAGUAAUGACCCCACACAUACAGUGGAUGAAUACUAGUAUUUUUAAGUUAUGUCUCCCUAAUUGUCCAGGUUGCCAGGCAAGGGUAGAAAUGCAUCCCAUAAGUCCACAUUGCUAGGCCAAGCCAGAUUCUUACUAAUAAUUACACAUUUUUUACGUGUACAUUUACAUACCUUCUUCUGCAACUAUAAAUCUUCAGAAAUUAUUUAGAUGUCAUUUCAAUAGAACUUUGUUUCUACGGCUCAUUUUGGUAGAACUGUAAAAUAACCAAAUAUUUGGCAACACAAAGUGCUGUUGAAGGGAAUUUCUUUUUAGU
rnacentral:lncRNA from 10 species